UACGUAGGGGGGCAAGCGUUGUCCGGAAUCAUUGGGCGUAAAGAGCGUGUAGGCGGCCCGGUAAGUCCGCCGUGAAAGUCCAGGGCUCAACCCUGGAAUGCCGGUGGAAACUGCCGGGCUGGAGUCCGGAAGAGGCGAGUGGAAUUCCUGGUGUAGCGGUGAAAUGCGCAGAUAUCAGGAGGAACACCAAUGGCGAAGGCAGCUCGCUGGGACGGUACUGACGCUGAGACGCGAAAGCGUGGGGAGCAAACAGG
rnacentral:rRNA from 1 species